GAUCUCUAGAUAGCUCAGUUGGUAGAGCCUGAGACUCUUCAUCUCAUCGUCAUGGGUUUGAGUCCCACAUAGUGAUCU